ACCCUGAGCAAGUCCCUGUGUCACUUUAACAGUGGCCUAGGAGAUGCCUGGAAGAUAGUGGGUGCACUGUGACUCCUUCCUGGGAAGAUCUUGUUCCAGGGACAUGGGAUACCAGGAUGCCCUGAACAACAUCCAGUGACUGAUAUAUUUUACAGGAACUGCCUCGCAAUGGGUGUAAAACCUCAAUGCACAUUUCUCUGAAGGUCUUCUGUCCCUCCUGAAGACCUUCAUUUUGGUCAUCCUCAGUCUUUGAACUCCUGGCAUGUUAAAUUUUUGGACAUUAUGAAACACAUCAGGAGUGUCUGUUGAAAUGAAUGAAUGUUCCAGUGGGCAAUGCACACGUGAGAGAAAAUCCUUGAGCGCAGUGGCGGAACACUGCUCGGAGUAUCUGCCUGGAAUACCAAGCUCUGAGUUUGCACAGGCUCGAUGGCAGUUUCAGAGUAACAAAAGGAUAAAUGAUGCUGAUCUUUCUCCACACAAUGACACCUUUAAGAGAGAGUUACAGUCAAAACCACAUGCAUUCAGGUAAGGAUCCUGUGUAACUCCUGGCUAUAAAACUCUGAUAGAAUGAAUGCUCUGUGGAACACUGGUGUUAGGGUGAGUUCUGUAGUUGAAUACUUGGAGCGAUACUGUUCUUCAUUUCUAUGCUCUGUCUGAGAAUUCUUAACAUACAUGUCCUCCUAGCCCAGAUAAGCACAUAGAAGGAUUGUUACACUUUUGUACAGGUGGGAAGUCAUUGUCUCGAGCUACUUAGGAAGUCCUAAGAUUCAAGAGACUUCCCUGUCCCAUCCCAUGCUCUAAAUUACAGAACCAUCUUUCCUCCAUUUUUUGUAGCUGUCCAGAGUCAUCCACAAAAACAAUUUACUUGAUUUCUCAGUGAAAUGGUUUUCAUAGAUAUACAGAAAAGGACAUUUAAGAGUCUUUCUACAGUUACACCUAAUUACUCAGGCUCUUGACUAUGCAUUGCAGAAGUGCUCAGCUUUAAUUGCCUUACUUCUUGUUGUUUGAUUAAUUUGUAUUGUUGUAGCAUUGAUGUUUUCAUUGUUCUACUUAAAAUAAUUGAACAAUGAAACCUUAAAAUUCUUUGCAUGUGGUGCUUGUAAAUUUACACCUAAAACCCCCUGAAUAUAAUGUUUCCAAGCCACCUAAAGAGGAACCCACACAUGCCAGUGCAAACAUUAUACUAUUGUAGUGUUUAUCACAAUAAAAUACUGGGUUUUUUUCACUGAGCUAUGUGCUCCAAGCAAGAUGCAGGAGAGCCUGGGGCUGUAUGUGAUCAAAAGCUUCACACAAUCUGAAUGGGUCAAUGAGUUUUUCCAGGCAAUUUAGACAAUUUUCUGUGUGUAGACAAAAUACCUGGAUUUCUCCUUACUGUUUAUCAGGUAAACUUCACAAAGUAUUUCAGAAAUCCUUUCCCUUUCCCUUUCCCUUUCCCUUUCCCUUUCCCUUUCCCUUUCCCUUUCCCUUUCCCUUUCCCUUUCCCUUUCCCUUUCCCUUUCCCUUUCCCUUUCCCUUUCCCUUUCCCUUUCCCUUUCCCUUUCCCCCCUCAGAUUUAGAACUUUCUAAUGUUGCACUUUCCCAUGUUCCCGCAUUUCAGUAGUAUUUUUUUUUUCAAGUAUGUAAACUUGGCCAGAAUUUUUUUGAAGUACUUGGCAUUUUGGUCCAGAACUAUUAAAUAUAAUGAGGUUUGAAGUGCAGUUCUGAAGGCACACCAUGUUUGCAGGCCUGGUUUGUGCAGUGCAUCAGUUAUUUGUGCAUCUGAAGUGAAGCAGUACUGUGUGCAGAGGUUCUGUGGGACAUGAGGCUAUAUCAUACCAUAUCUUCCCAUCCUACUUGAAUAGUAGUUUUUUAGUUUUGAUGUUUAGGUUGCAAAGUUUCUGAGCCUGAGUUCAAGUCAGACUGUGCUGUGAUGCUACUGGAUUUAGUAACAUCAAUGCAACUGAAAAUAAACAAAUAGGGCUUCAUUUGCUGGUAGUAAGGAAAUCUGCUUAAUCUUAGAGUCAAUGCCUAUAUGGUUCAUAAGAGAAAAGGGGAAACAGUUAAAUUCUUUAUGGUAUGAAAACUGAAAGUGAAUUGCUAGAGGCAAAACUUCUUAAUUUUGUCACUAUUAUAUUGUAGAUAAAAUUAGAGGAAUAACUUAAAGUGUAGUAGUGAUGACUAAAAUUACUAAGUGGACUACUUUAAAAUUUUUAUUUAUAUUCCAAAUGCACACAGAGGAUAAGUGUUUACAGGCUAAUGUUCACUCAUUUGAUACGUCCAUUUAAUGAAAGAUGGCAACAUUCUGACAGUUGAAAUGUUUGUGAGGAAAGGGACAGGUUAAGGUUUGCUCUUGUGACUUUAAUACUGUCAUUCUUGCAUCUUGAACUAUUUCAUUUGGAAGCACUAUGUUCUUUGAAUGAGAUAAGAAUUUAGUAUGCUGUGCAUCUUUUCUUAAUACAUCUGCUGUCUAAAAAAGCAAGGUGGAAAAAAGCAACAAAUAAACCCAAGGAAAUUGUAUCAGCAGCACUUAGUUUUACAUCCCAUUUAGUACAAAGACAAAGCAAAUCAACCCAUAACAGCAAUAACCAAAAAGAAAAUGAACGGAUUUAGAGAAACGGCCUAUCUAAAGCACUAAGUGGGGUAUAAAUAAGAAUUUCACUAGUUUCAUAGGAAGAUCUUAGAAACAGACCUUUCCCAAUGUAAAAUUUAAGUUAUUAGGUAUAUUUUCUAUUAAUAGAUGGUAUCCAUAACUGAAAACACAAGUAUUGGAAAGCUGGACAAUGGUGACAGUGUAGAUCACUAUUCUGCAUUGUAAAUAAUACAUAAUAAGGUCAUAUUUCUUCAUUUUUGUCACCCUUCUCUCUGGUCAAACUCUUCCUUGAAAAUCCUCUGGAAAGGAAAAAAAACCAGUACUUUAUCUUGAGUCAUUUGGCUGAAUAAGUUUUAACAAAAAGCAAAAUAAUGAUAAAAAUGUAUUCUCAGCAGCAUCAGAAGGCUGUAACAGGGAAUUCAGUGCAUGCCAUACAGAACCUAAAGCAGUUUCCUUCUUUCCACCAACACUUGGAGCACCCCCAGCUGAAUGGAUCUUGCAGUGUGCAAGGUAUAAUGCAGGCAUUUCAGCCACAGCUUCUGGAAGGGGCUGCUCUGGGAAAUGAACUCACAUGUGAGCAGCCACGCUGGCAGAAGUGUGCUGGGAAGUGCCACCAUGAAUUUGUGGAAGGUUUUGAAGAUGACCUUUUCAACAGGCAAAUUUCUCCCAUUCUCAUGUCCCCUCAGUGCUGUGUUUUCAGCUCACUCGGGUUUGGUGUUCCCUCCUGCAGCUCUGCCACAGCCUUCUUGACUUUCAGAGCCAUUCAGUUCUGUGAAAGUGUCUUGCUAAAUUAUGCCAAGACAAAUACCAGCAGAACCAUAUCCAUGCUAGGAAAUUGCACCAGUGUAACUAUAAACUGAAAUAGUUAAAUCAGCACUGUGUGUAGACAUAAGUACUUUGCUGGAUUUUAGUCAAAACACUUUAAAAGUAAUGUUAAAUUUUGGUUUUGUGCCAGCCAUGGGCCAAACUGAACCACCUGUAUUCAUAUACUAUGCUUAGCCAUUAGUACACUUCAAGCACGUUCAAAAUUAAAGACAAGACAAAGUCCCACUGAAGUAAUUUAAAACUUAAGGAUAUGCAUCUGCUUAACUUCUUUCCUGACUCAGGAGCGACUUAAGCAUGUACUUAGACUUACACAGUAACAUUUUCUGCUGAAUAAGUACCUCUAUUUUUUGAAAUGGCAAUCAUGAAAUUCUAAUUUUGAAUGUAAUAGGAAAAUUCCUAGAUUCAUUCAGCCAAAGAUAAUUGCUGGUUGGAGAGCUUUACAUGCUCACAGUAAGAAAAGUACGUUUAUCCAAGGAAAAAAACACCUCUUUAAAUUAAAUCAACCUACAGUGUUAUAUUAUUUUUAUUAACAUGUAUGCUGUAAUGCUAAAAGUUGGUAUAUGUUUGACUCAACCCAAUAAUCACACAAUGUAAUAAUACUCAAACAAGAGCUUGAAUUAAUCUUCGUACGGCAAAGAUUAAUUAACCAGAAGGUUAUUUCACGCCAUUCUUCAGGGAAAACAUAUCAUUUGCUCUAAGGCUAUGGCUUCUUUGCCUUGCCAGAGUGCUUUAAAAUAGUUUUGAAAUUUAUUUUUUGAGGAUAAAAGCAAUAAAUUAUUCCCCAGGACAUGUUGGGUAGUACAAAUUCUGCCAGUAGAGCAGCUUCAAAAGUGUUGAACUGCACAGCUGACUCUUGCUGGGCCACAGGCCCUCCGAGGAUUCUCCAUUUCAGUCAAUUCCACUGGAGCAGAAUUUCAGAUUUGUACAUUCACGUGAGCUUCACUGGCCAAAGAGAUUACUGGUCCUUCCCAAAUGUGAGAGAUUUCCAUGCAGUGCCACACCCUCAGGAAUAUUCCUCCUUUGACUCAUUUUUGUGUUUGGAUGAUUCUGUUUGAGAUGAUAAUAAAGCCUGUAGAAUCUGGUUUAUGAUAUACAAUUAAAUACUUUUUGUUCUUUCCAUAUGAUGCACUGACAUAUUUUCUGUGCAAAAAGGGAAUCCAACAGUCUUCAGAAGUGAGGGUUUUACGAAAUCAGCUUCUUAUCAAAUCAUUAGACUUCAUGGUCCAAGCUCUUUGGAAGGCUCUUGGGAGUAAUAUUUGUGUGGUACCAAAAGAAUUCACACUACUGUGUUUUCACCUCUGUAGUCUGAAUGCCUCAAAAUUCACUUUUUAGGAGUGCUGGAAUUUGAUUCAUACUGCAGUAUGUGCUUACACAGAUCACUGUGAGAUUUUUCCCUUGCUAUGCAAAAGGCAAAACUACUUUUCAAUUCUUCCUUUCCCACAGCUCCAUUCUUCUCUGAAAACAUGAUAACAUAUUUAAGCACUGAACAACAUGGCAUUUUAACAUUAAUCCUUAAUGUUAUUGAAAUGUUUCAACCUGCGUAUUUUUCACUGUCUCAUACACCAUUCUAAUUUCUUUUACUCUGUUAAAUUCAGACGUAAUUUAGGAUGGAAAAAUACAUUUUAGAAUUACACCUGCAGCAUGUAGUAUUAGUAUGACUUUUUCAUGGCAUGACAGUGAUGUUUCUACAAUCUAUACAUAUUGAUUUAGGCUGAUAAUAAACAAUUUGAUUAGGCUCUAUCUAUAGGCUGUCAUUUCAAUCACUGUCACUGUUCCAAUAGAGUGGAAGGCAGAUAGCAGACACAUAUGGCAAGAUUUCUCAAAAUAAAAACUCUGGCCUGAUUAGAGCCCUAGGUUCAGUGAAUUGGACAAGACAGCUCAGCUGCCAGGUUAUUAACUCCCUCAGAAAAUACUCUGCCUUUUCCCCGGGGCCAGCCUGAAUAUUCUGAUCUGGAUCGAUAAGCAAUCUCCGGUGUGUACAAAAUGCCAGCUAGAAUCAUUUGUCUCAGUGCAGUCUCCUUACAAAGGAUAAAACACCUGCAGUAUGUGGCCUUCUCUCCCUCCUCCCCCACCUUCCCCCUUUUAACUAAUGACCCACAGAGAGGGAAGAAGUAACUGAAUCUGUUCCAUCAUCAGGAAGGCUCUCUCAGGUUUGUUUUAAUGAUCACAAUGGCUACCUUUCAAUCUUACAAAAAUUAUAUCAGUCAUGGUUUCCCUGUGGCAUGUUUAUGUAAGUAAUGUGAACCACAAUGUAAUGACAAGUGUACAGAUGUCAUUGUAAGAGGGCCCUUGGCAAGAAGAUAUCUCAGAAUGUCAGAAUUUUAAUAAACCGUGGACUGCUGGUAGGGUUCUCUUUGGUGGUUGUCUUUUAUAUUUGUAAUGUGUGCUGUGAUCUGUUGCUUGGGCCUGAGAUUUUUCAGGAGUGUUUAGUAACAAAGGAUAUUUCACAAUUUAUUAGAACAGAAUCAUUCUUUUCCAGAGUGGUGGUGUUUUCCCAAUCCAUUACAUAUAUGUGGUUUUGUUUGUAGCAGUGUUGGAUUGUAGCCAUAUGACUUGUACUUUCCUUAGAUGCCAAAAAGGAGUUUUUAUCUGAGUGAUUUCAGAACCAUUCAAAGCUUUUGGAUGUUUUUUCCACAUGUUGACCUAUUAAUAAGCCCCCCUUGACUCAAAUAAAAAUCAAAUACAUGCAAAGUAUGAGAAAACCCACAAACCUCCAAGUUUCUCUCCUCCUUGGUUAUUUAUUACACCUGGAGUCACAGGAUAGAAUCUCCUAUUGCACAAGAAGUUUGUGGCUUCGCAUGUCCCAUGCUGUCAAGAAAUACAAGCUGAAUAUCCUCAGCAAUAUGCAUAGAAUUUACUGAGCAAGUAACAGGUACUGAAUACCUGUUUCUAGGUAUGGAUUAAGAGCCUUUCAGGAACAGAGGCCAGUUUUGACUUAUUUUUCAAGGCUGUAGAACUAGCUCUUCAUCCAGCUAUUAAUGACAGUAUUGUUCUGACCUCAGUUUAGGUAACUGCUCACAUCUAUAUACCUAUAGAAGACUUACCUUAAAUUAAUGUAAGCUGAAGAUCCAUGCCUAGUUAAAAAAUUUAUAUUAUUUUAUGUAAUGUUUGCUUAUGACAAAUUAUAUAGAAGCAUUUUAUGUUUGUACUGCCAUCAUUUGAAAAAGGAAGGUUUGCAUUUACUCUGUCCUUCUUUACUGCAUGAGGUGUCUUGCCCUCAUAAUGUCAAUAAAUUAGAAUAUUGCCUUACAGAUAGCUCCCUUCAUAUUCACUAUCCAAAACUUCAGGAACUAAAGAUGCUUUUAAAAAAGAACAAUGUAAGGAACAACUUUUGUGAAUUGAUUUCCCAAUGUAGAAAGGACAUUUCCUAUCAAGAUACUUAUUAGAAUGUUUAUCUCAGAGAAAAUGCCCACAGUUUAUAUGAAAAGCUGAUGUUAUGUUAAUUCCCAUUAUUAUAUACAGAUGAUAUUGAGGAAGAUGGAACAAAGUGCCUUUAAACCAAAGCUGAUGACUUUUUUUUUUCUUGUUUGCUACAGUUUUAUUGUAGUGAAAUAUGUUCAUUUUAGCAGUGGAAAACUGCCCUAAAUAGACAGCAUAGAGCAAUAAGAUGUCACAUUGCAGAGCACAAUUUAAAAAUGAUGUGCUCCAGAAGUAAGGCUUUUAGACAUUUUGGGUUAUGUAUUAAAACUUCCCACAAAUUUGAUUGAGAAUGAGCCUUUGAUGGAUAUUUUCUGCAGUUAUGCUGCAUUAGACUCGAUUUAUCCACCACCUCUCAUUGUUGCUAUUGAUUGAUUUUUAAAUUAGAUGAAGGCAAUCAGUAAAUACCACCCAAUCAAGUCCUAAAAACAUACAGGAGAUUAGACAAUUUAGGGUAAUCAAUGAAAAUAUUCUGUGAUUUGCUACCACUCAAUUUUGACCAUAAAUUACAACCAUAACUUGCAAGUUAGUAAGCCAUAAAACACGUGGAUGUGACAAGAAAAACUACAAGAAAUGAAUUAAGGAGAUGAAGAGGAACCACUAGUGUUAUCAUUUAAUGAGACAAAAUUACUCUUUAUGCAUAUCUGGCAUUUCUAGUUGAGCCUCGCCAACAGUAUUGGAGUACAAGAGCACUAACACUCCUCUUAUUUUUCUAGGGUUUUGUUUUUGGGUUUUUUUGUUUUUUGUUUUUUUGGGGUUUUUUUUGUGAUAUAAAAAAUGUUCUUUUGUGUAACAAAUCAGUUUGAACAAUAAUCUACCUAAUAUUGUUGCAGCAAAUAAAUCAAUGUAAUUUUACCUUUAAAGCCUGCUGUUUGUUAAAACCUCUCACCUUCAUCUCAGGCACUUGCAAAGUCUAAUUUUAAAGUAACACUUCUACGUGGUGUUAUAUUCUACAAACUUUAAAAUUUAGCAAAAAUUUAAUGGUAUUUUAGACCAACACUUUGAACAAGCUGUGUUCAUACACUUUCUCUGCGAUAUAUGUCGCCCAUUUUCUAUAUGCUCACAACAGUCUCACUAGGAACUAAUUCGCAUAUCUUCAAAAAAAAUCUGCUUUUAAAGUUAUUUACUCGUUGUUAAUAGGUGUCCAUGUUUUUUCUAUUUAUGAACUUUAGUAUCUAUUUGUAAUUUCUAGGCAGUAUCUAGAAUUAACAGCUAUAGGCUAUAUUGGUAUGAAUUGGUGAAAUAAAUAAAAAAUUUAUUGUAAAUCUAUUCCCUUAAAAAAGUAGUACAGGUGUGAUAAUUCUGAGCAGCAUGAAAAAAAACUUCUGGUUAUUGAAGGGGCCUUUAUGAUCCUCUUUAGAAUAAGGAACAUUUGGAAAAGAAGACCAGAAUAAUUUUGGGGAUUGUUGGUCAUAGAAAAGGAUGAAAUUAAGAUACUUUUGACAAGAAGAAAAUUCAUGUGCCUUUUUCUACAUUAAACAGAAAUUUCAGAGAUCUGAAAACUGCCCAGGACACCUUGAGUGGUGAUAGAAUUGUAACAGAGGACAGCAGGAAAGAACACUCUCACUGCACUCACACCCACUAAAAUACAAAAGUGACUUUGUAGAGCUUCAUGGUAGAGCAACUCCUUUGAGAGCAGAUAAAUGCAAAAGGCACAGGUGGAAUAAAUACUGAAAAUAUUUAGAUUUAUAUCUACCAUGAUUUAAUUAUUCCCAAUAAAGAAAAAUUUCAUGUUGCAGCAGAGAAAGCAAAACCCCUAGAGUCAGAAGAAAGCACCAGUGGUGUUGCAAACAAAAGAUUAGUCAGCAAAUACUGACUCUGUAUCAGUAGGUGGAUGCUGUGUGAGAUAAUCCAGAAUUAGAAUUUUGCAAGAAUAUCAUGCAGAAAUUCCAAAUUCUUGCUGUAGUAGACAAAUGUAUGGCACCACUAACUACUAAAAAAAAAAAAAAAAAAAAAAAAAAAAAAA
ensembl:lncRNA